GAUGAAGAACGCAGCGAAAUGCGAUACUUGGUGUGAAUUGCAGAAUCCCGUGAACCAUCGAGUCUUUGAACGCAAGUUGCGCCUCAAGCCAUUAGGUUGAGGGCACGUCUGCCUGGGCGUCACAUAUCGUUGCCUGAUGCCAGUUUCCUCGUGAUGGGUGACUGUGCAGGGCGAAUGAUGGCUUCCCGUGAGCAUUGUUGCCUCAUGGUUGGUUGAAAAUUGAGACCUUGGUAGGGAGCGCCGUGAUAGAUGGUGGUUGAGUGACGAACGAGACCCAAUCAUGUGAGACCCCUACCGAAUUUGGCCUUCAUGACCCACAUGCGUCUUUGGAACGCUCAUGACGAGACCUCAGGUCAGGCGGGGCUACCCGCUGAGUUUAAGCAUAUCAAUAAGCGGAGGA
rnacentral:misc_RNA from 1 species